rnacentral:rRNA from 1 species
UACGUAGGGGGCAAGCGUUGUCCGGAUUUACUGGGCGUAAAGCGCGCGUAGGCGGAACGUUAAGUCCGGUCUGAAAGCCCCCGGCUCAACCGGGGAGGGUGGCUGGAAACUGGCGUUCUUGAGGGCGAGAGAGGAGGGUGGAAUUCCUGGUGUAGCGGUGAAAUGCGUAGAGAUCAGGCGGAACACCCGUGGCGAAGGCGGCCAGCUGGGCCGUCCCUGACGCUGAGGCGCGAAGGCGUGGGGAGCGAACGGG